rnacentral:rRNA from 1 species
GAUGAACGCUGGCGGCGUGCUUAACACAUGCAAGUCGAACGGUGAAGGAAGAGCUUGCUCUUCUGGAUCAGUGGCGAACGGGUGAGUAACACGUGAGUAACCUGCCCUUAACUCUGGGAUAAGCGUUGGAAACGACGUCUAAUACCGGAUACGAGCUUCAGCCGCAUGGCUAGGAGUUGGAAAGAAUUUCGGUCAAGGAUGGACUCGCGGCCUAUCAGGUUGUUGGUGAGGUAAUGGCUCACCAAGCCUACGACGGGUAGCCGGCCUGAGAGGGUGACCGGCCACACUGGGACUGAGGCACGGCCCAGACUCCUACGGGAGGCAGCAGUGGGGAAUAAUGCACAAUGGGCGAAAGCCUGAUGCAGCAACGCCGCGUGAGGGACGACGGCCUUCGGGUUGUAAACCUCUUUUAGCAGGGAAGAAGCGAAAGUGACGGUACCUGCAGAAAAAGCACCGGCUAACUACGUGCCAGCCGCCGCGGUAA